rnacentral:lncRNA from 1 species
UCGUACGCCGGUAGAGGUGGGUGGACAACAAGAAGAAAUCGGCUCCUCCUUGCCGACGGUCGUUGGGUUUCGCGGCUGCCCACCGUGGCUGAAGCGAUGCCGCUGGUAGUGGCCAGCACGGUGAUGAGGAGAAGCAGGGCGGCGUUCCCCAUUGUACAGACAAGAACAAGUAACGCAGCUGGAGGUGCUUGGCUCGUUGCUCUUGAUUAGCUGAGGGGUGUGUUUUAUGUGAGGA